AUUGAACGCUGGCGGCAGGCCUAACACAUGCAAGUCGGACGGUAGCACAGAGGAGCUUGCUCCUCGGGUGACGAGUGGCGGACGGGUGAGUAAUGUCUGGGGAUCUGCCCGAUAGAGGGGGAUAACCACUGGAAACGGUGGCUAAUACCGCAUAACGUCGCAAGACCAAAGAGGGGGACCUUCGGGCCUCUCACUAUCGGAUGAACCCAGAUGGGAUUAGCUAGUAGGCGGGGUAACGGCCCACCUAGGCGACGAUCCCUAGCUGGUCUGAGGGGAUGACUAGCCACACUGGAACUGAGACGCGGUCCAGACUCCUACGGGAGGCAGCAGUGGGGAAUAUUGCACAAUGGGCGCAAGCCUGAUGCAGCCAUGCCGCGUGUAUGAAGAAGGCCUUCGGGUUGUAAAGUACUUUCAGCGGGGAGGAAGGCGAUAAGGUUAAUAACCUUGUCGAUUGACGUUACCCGCAGAAGAAGCACCGGCUAACUCCGUGCCAGCCGCCGCCGUAA
rnacentral:rRNA from 1 species